AGGCCUGGAGAGAGGCACGGUCUGAUCCACAGCCUCUGUCCCAGCUGUUGAUCAGCUGUUGCCUCUCUCUUUCUCUCCC
rfam:Myotis brandtii contig246042, whole genome shotgun sequence.